rnacentral:rRNA from 1 species
CUUGGAUGUGGUAGCCAUUUCUCAGGCUCCCUCUCCGGAGUCGAACCCUUAUUCUCCGUUACCCGUUACAACCAUGGUAGGCACAUAAACUACCAUCGACAGUUGAUAAGGCAGACACUUGAUAGCCACGUCGCCGGUUCGAGACCAUGCGAUCAGCUAUAGUUAUUCAGAGUCACCAAUUAACGGGCCGAAACCCGAUUGGUUUUAAUCUAAUAGAUGCGCUCGUCAGAAAAUCGGAGCUUUGGUGCAUGUAUUAGCUCUAGAAUUACCACAGUUAUCCACGUAGGAUAUCAAGAUCAAGUAUAUAAUAGCUGUUGUAAUGAGCCGUUCGCGGUUUCACCUUUAUAGGCCAUUUGAACUUAGACAUGCAUGGCUUAGCCUUUGAGAUAAGCAUAUAACCGCCGACAGAAUCAAUCGGGGAGAUGCACAUUAAUAACCGGCGCAUCUUCUACGCUCGGCUUAUACGAACUUGUGCAACCAAUAAAACGCGCUUUAGCGAAAUUUUUGCGCGUUCAUCUCGUUUUCUUAGCGAGAAUUCCCGUACGAUAUGCAGCCACUGCAUUCGUUUAGCGGUAAUUCAUCGCACGUUCGAAAACAACGCCUUUUCACCGUCAUUUCUCUCUCCACUAUCUCUUCAAUAAGCGAGAAAUCGCCGUCCACUUCUCAACAACAAAACGCUUCAGCGGCCAUAAACGCCUCGCCGCUCAUUUUUGCGCUUUCAACACCUCGUCUCUACUCGGUGAGCGCACGCAUAAUCCAUCGGGCGUUUAGCACUCGCCACCACUCUGCUUCGUUCAACGCCUCGAAAGCAAACGGUUACACUGCUCUAGCAAUAACGAUCAACGUUUAGUGCUCGGAGCUGAUCAAAACUGAAAUCAAUAAUAUCUCAUUGGAGAUGUAUACUUCAAUUAUUCCACUUCAUUCGUUCAGCGGUAAUUCAUCGCACGUUCGAAAACAACGCCUUUUCACCGUCAUUUCUCUCUCCACUAUCUCUUCAAUAAGCGAGAAAUCGCGCUCCACUUCUCAACAACAAAACGCUUCAGCGGCGAAUGAGGUAUUGUGCGCUUGAGCGGGAGACUUUAUUCCCGAUCCGUUGCAUUGGCUUGUUGUGUUUCUUCAUGUCUAAGAGAUUCUGCUCUCGCCGCACGAGUAAGAGGGUCACAGUGGUUUGCGUUGUGAAGGCUUUUGGGCGUAGGCCCGGCUGGAGCUUCACUGGUGCAGAUCUUGGUGGUAGUUAGCAAAUAUUCAAGUGAGAUCCUUGAAGACUGAAGUGGAGAAGGGUUCCACGUGACAGCAGUUGAAUGUGGGCCAGUCGGCCCUAAGAUCUGGCUAAUGCAUGUGUUAUCGAGAGAUGGAGUUCAAAUCCGUCUCGUUUAUCGAAAGGGAAACGGGUUAAUAUUCCCGUACCUGGACACGGAGAUAAGCGCUCAUUGCGAGUGUUUAGCGCGGUAACGCAAACGAACUCGGUAACGUUGAAUAGAGCCCGAGCUAGAGUUCUCUUUCCUAGUUAGGAACGAAUUCCUGGAAUCGGUUCAGCCGGAGAUAGGGAUGUUGUUUCCGUAAAGCGCACCGGUUCCUGUGGUGUCUCGUGCGCUCUAUUCGGCCCUUGAAAAACCGAGGGAGGCUAUUUGAAUUUCGUGCCAGGCGUACCGAUAUCCGCAGCAGGUCUCCAAGGUGAACAGCCUCUAGUCGAUAGAAUAAUGUAGGUAAGGAAGUCGGCAAAUUAGAUCCGUAACUUCGGGAAAAGGAUUGGCUCUAAGGACUGGGCCGGUCGGGCUGCAGUGUGAAGUGAGCUCGGUUUGAUCCAUGCAGUGCAACGCUCGGAAACGGGUGGCGCUCGGCUAGCGUUCGAACUGUCUUAUGGACCGCUGCAGCUGUGUACCGCGUCAAUAAUGGCGUUGGUGCUUCGGGGGCGCUAAACAGUCGACUUAGAACUGGCACGGACUCGGGGAAUCCGACUGUCUAAUUAAAACAGAGGAGACAGAUGGCCCUUGCGAGCGUUGACUGUCUCUGAUUUCUGCCCAGUGCUCUGAAUGUAAAAGUGAAGAGAAUUCAACAAAGCGCGGUUAAACGGCGGGAGUAACUANNNNNNNNNNNNNNNNNNNAAAUGCCUGUCAUCUAAUUAUGACGCGCAUGAAUGGAUUAACGAGAUUCCCACUGUCCCUAUCUACUACUAGCGAAACCACAGCCAAGGGAACGGGCUUGGCGAACACAGCGGGGAAAGAAGACCCUGUUGAGCUUGACUCUAGUCCGACUCUGUGAAGAGUCAUGAGAGGUGUAGCAUAAGUGGGAGGCUUUCGCCAACAGUGAAAUACCACUACUUUCAUCGAUUCUUUACUUAUUCGGUAAACGAGAAUUGAGCCUAUCCGGCUCUUGAUUCUGGUGUUAAGUGCAGCCACUCGGUGGCCGUUCGACUCGCGCCGAAGACAGUGUCAGGCGGGGAGUUUGACUGGGCGGUACAUCUGUCAAAUCGUAACGCAGGUGUCCUAAGGCUAGCUCAGAGAGGACGGAAACCUCUCGUAGAGCAAAAGGGCAAAAGCUCGCUUGAUCUUGAUUUUCAGUACGAAUACAGACCGCGAAAGCGUGGCCUAUCGAUCCUUUUGAAUUAGAAGGUCUCUAGCAAGAGGUGUCAGAAAAGUUACCACAGGGAUAACUGGCUUGUGGCAGCCAAGCGUCCAUAGCGACGUUGCUUUUUGAUCCUUCGAUGUCGGCUCUUCCUAUCAUUGCGAAGCAGAAUUCGCCAAGCGUUGGAUUGUUCACCCACCAAUAGGGAACGUGAGCUGGGUUUAGACCGUCGUGAGAACAGGUUAGUUUUACCCUACUGUGACUCUUGUUGCGAUAGUAAUCCUGCUUAGUACGAGAGGAACCGCAGGUUCAGACAUUUGGUUCAUGUGCUUGGCCGAUCGGCCAAUGGUGCGAAGCUACCAUCUGAGGGAUUAUGACUGAACGCCUCUAAGUCAAGAAUCCCGCCUAGUGAAGGCAACGAUAAAUUUGCUCCCCGGUGUCGGGAGGCACUUCUCUAUGUGACUAUUGAAGUUACAGCUAAUGCCCCAUUAUAUGGCCUUACCGAGCGAUUGAAAGGUCGUGCGGUUGCCAAAGCCGGACUACACGGUACAAUGUCGGGGCGCAAAAUCACUUGCAGACGACUUGAUUACUGGUCAAGGUGUUGUAUCCAGUAGAGCAGCCUCCAUACUGCGAUCUGUUGAGACUCAUCCUUUGAUUGGACGAUUUGUUUCAUA